rnacentral:snRNA from 1 species
GGUUUAGGGGGAAUCAGAUAAAUUGGAACGACACAGGGACGAUUAGCAUGGCCCCUGCGCAAGCAUGACAAGCAAAAAUCGAGAAGUGUACCAUUUUUUU